rnacentral:pre_miRNA from 3 species
UACUGCAUCAGGAACUGAUUGGAUAAGAAUCAGUCACCAUCAGUUCCUAAUGCAUUGCC